rnacentral:tRNA from 1 species
AGGACUAUAGUUAAUAAUAACAUUUGAGUUGCAUUCAAAAAGUACUACCGAUAGUAGUUAGCCUUA